rnacentral:sRNA from 1 species
CUGUCUCUACGGCUGCUGUGCUCCUGGCGGACAUCCUCCCCACACUCGUCAUCAAAUUGUUGGCUCCUCUUGGCCUUCACCUGCUGCCCUACAGCCCCCGGGUUCUCGUCAGUGGGAUUUGUGCUGCUGGAAGCUUCGUCCUGGUUGCCUUUUCUCAUUCUGUGGGGACCAGCCUGUGUGGUGUGGUCUUCGCUAGCAUCUCAUCAGGCCUUGGGGAGGUCACCUUCCUCUCCCUCACUGCCUUCUACCCCAGGGCCGUGAUCUCCUGGUGGUCCUCAGGGACUGGGGGAGCUGGGCUGCUGGGGGCCCUGUCCUACCUGGGCCUCACCCAGGCCGGCCUCUCCCCUCAGCAGACCCUGCUGUCCAUGCUGGGUAUCCCUGCCCUGCUGCUGGCCAGCUAUUUCUUGUUGCUCACAUCUCCUGAGGCCCAGGACCCUGGAGGGGAAGAAGAGGCAGAGAGCGCAGCCCGGCAGCCCCUCAUAAGAACCGAGGCCCCGGAGUCGAAGCCAGGCUCCAGCUCCAGCCUCUCCCUUCGGGAAAGGUGGACAGUGUUCAAGGUUCGGAUGAUGGCUGGGGUAUGUCCCUGUGGGGCUUGCUCACCUCCAGGCCCCCCGCUUAUAUCUUCUGCCUUUUCCAGGGUCUGCUGUGGUACAUUGUUCCCUUGGUCGUAGUUUACUUUGCCGAGUAUUUCAUUAACCAGGGACUUGUAAGUGAGGGGUGCUAGGAGGGGUGUGGAGGUGGCGAUUGGGGCUGGGACCCACACGGCCCCGUCCAUCUCCCCUGUCUGGUAUUUGUUGCAGUUUGAACUCCUCUUUUUCCGGAACACUUCCCUGAGUCACGCUCAGCAAUACCGCUGGUACCAGAUGCUGUACCAGGCUGGCGUCUUUGCCUCCCGCUCUUCUCUCCGCUGCUGUCGCAUCCGUUUCACCUGGGCCCUGGCCCUGCUGCAG